rnacentral:rRNA from 1 species
AAAUCUAAGGUUUCUUGGGGAAGGUUCGUCCGCCCAAGGUUAGUCGGGAGCUAAGCUCAGGCCGAAAGGCGUAGGCGAUGCACAUACGGUAGAAAUUCCGUAACCACCGAACAUUUAAGCUAGAGGGACGCUUUCUUUAAGGUUAUCCCGGGCGAUGGUUGCCCCGGGCGUAAGGGACCGAAAUAUAGUAGGGAAGUAACUGGCGAGAGAGACGAGAAAAGCUCUAGUGUAUACUAAGGUGCCCGUACCGCAAACCGACACAGGUAGAUGGGAUGAGUAUUCUAAGGCCAACGGGAGAAGGGUUGUUAAGGAACUCGGCAAAUUGGCCCCGUAACUUCGGGAUAAGGGGCGCCUGCGAGAGCAGGCCGCAGUGAAAAGGCCCAAGCGACUGUUUAGCAAAAACACAGCUCUCUGCUAAAUCGAAAGAUGACGUAUAGGGGGUGACGCCUGCCCGGUGCUGGAAGGUUAAGGGGAGUGCUUAGCGCAAGCGAAGGUGCGAACUUAAGCCCCAGUAAACGGCGGCCGUAACUAUAACGGUCCUAAGGUAGCGAAAUUCCUUGUCAGGUAAGUUCUGACCCGCACGAAAGGCGUAAUGAUUUGGGCACUGUCUCAACAGCCCGCCCGGCGAAAUUGUAGUACCGGUGAAGAUGCCGGUUUCCCGCAACUAGACGGAAAGACCCCAUGGAGCUUCACUGUAGCUUGAUAUUGGACUUCGGUAUUCCAUGUACAGGAUAGGUGGGAGGCUAGGAAGCGAGCGCGCCAGCGUUCGUGGAGCCGUCCUUGGGAUACCACUCUUGGGAUAUUGGAGUUCUAACCUGCGACCAUGAAUCUGGUCGGGGGACAUUGUCAGGUGGGCAGUUUGACUGGGGCGGUCGCCUCCAAAAGAGUAACGGAGGCGCUCAAAGGUUCGUUCAGCACGGACGGAAAUCGUGCACUGAGUGUAAACGCAUAAACGAGCCUAACUGCGAGAAUGACGGUUCGAGCAGUAACGAAAGUUGGAGUUAGUGAUCCGGCGGUAUGUGAAUGGAAAUGCCGUCGCUCAACGGAUAAAAGCUACCCUGGGGAUAACAGGCUGAUCUCCCCCAAGAGUCCACAUCGACGGGGAGGUU